ACAGUCGUCACCGCUGCGGAUGCUCGCCACUCCGGAGCACUCUGGGAGUUGUAGUUUCCUGGCUCACUCCAGACGGGCCUGAACAAAAGAGAUGGACGGAUGACUAAAACUAGAAUUCCCAGGAAGCCCAGCGGCGCAGCUCGCGCUGUGUGGCGGGAGUGCCCCCUGAGGCUCCGCCUUCUUCGGCUGGUGGAGGGAGCUUUCCGCGGAUGGGUAUGGCGAAUUGUUGGCACCUGGAUGGCUAAGUCUUCAGGUUAUCAUAAAACAAGAUCACAAGCCAAAAAGUAACAUAGGAAAUAAUAAAGACUGGGUCAUUUUAUCAGAUUUUGCUGUUUCAUGUACAGAAGGCUAUAGGACUGUUUUGCCAGAUUCUAAAUGACAACUUUUAAAUCAGAGCCUUGAAAUCUAUAGAUGUCCAUUAUAUUCUGAGGAACAAAGGGAAUGUGGAAAUGAAAGAGAGAGGGAGAGAGAGGCUGGCAGAUGUAAUGAGACGCGGUGAAGGUGUACGCAGACUGGCACUCCCACUCCUCCCGUCUGCUCUCACUGCAGCCCUGGGUAACUCGCAGGCUAACACAAACAGCUUUUCUCCCGCAGCCUGCCCUCUGUCACUGUCAUUUUCAUGAAUUCAAAGGCAAUUUACCAGUGAUUUCUGGGUGCUGGGGCUGAUUUUCUGUGCAUAUUUAAGAAUGUCUUCCAAGCAAGCCACCUCUCCAUUUGCCUGUGCAGCUGAUGGAGAGGAAACGUUGACCCAAGAUUUGACCUCAAGGGAAAAGGAAGAGGGCAGUGAUCAACAUGUGGCCUCCCAUCUGCCUCUGCACCCCAUAAUGCACAACAAACCUCACUCUGAGGAGCUACCAACACUUGUCAAUACCAUUCAACAAGAUGCCGACUGGGACAGUGUUCUGUCGUCUCAGCAAAGAAUGGAGUCAGAGAAUAAUAAGUUAUGUUCCCUAUAUUCCUUCCGAAAUACCUCUACCUCACCACAUAAGCCUGACGAAGGGAGUCGGGACCGCGAGAUAAUGACCAGUGUUACUUUUGGAACCCCAGAACGCCGCAAAGGGAGCCUUGCCGAUGUGGUGGACACACUGAAACAGAAGAAGCUUGAGGAAAUGACUCGGACUGAACAAGAGGGUAUGUGUGGACUUAACUAUUGGGCUUUAUUCUUUUAAAGAUUCCAGGCCUUAAAAAAAAAAUGAGUGGGAUUUCAAGGGCCAGAGAAGUGCAUAAUUGGCACUAGCUAGGAAAAAGU